UUUUGCAGGUCGAGUGUCUACGUUACAGACAAACAAAAAUAACUGGAAACAGAAAUAAUUUAGCGGUUGCAUACGCCUAGUUGGCGGUAACCACUUCCCUACUACUUCACUUACGAGUAGCAUCGGAAGUUAAUAAAGUAAGUUAUAAUGUAUCCCAUUCCUAUAAGAUACAUCGAAUUCAAUAGGAUAAUAAAUAUUACUUUUGUUAAUUUAUUAAAUAUUUAUGAAUAAUUUAAAUUAACUAAACCUGUAGAUAAAUACUGUGCGAUUAUUUUUGGACAGGGGUUCAACUCCCCUCGACUCCACCA
rnacentral:tmRNA from 1 species